CGAAACCAUUGCCCGGUAUGAGAAUAUCAUACGCCACUGGACAAUGAAACAUGAAAGAGCAUUUAAACUUGAAGAUUUCCCGGGGUUUGAAUUGGUAAAUUUGGUCCAUAUUUGUGGUUGGGAAAAAGUUGUAGAGAGACCUCACCUAGUUUAUGAGAAUCUCGUCCGAGAAUUCUAUGCAAAUUUCAACAGUGAAAUCGAUACCCCAAGUUCAGAGCACAUACAUCAGACAUAGGUGAUAGGGAUAUGGAUUAUGUUUUCUCAGAAAGUUAUCCAUUAUUAUUAUCAGUUGAACAUGGAGAAUGUGGUUCUCAUUCCCACCGAAUUCAACUGGCCUGAAGUAGCUGAGAUUUUAUUGGGAAGGGAAAAUAUAUGGCCCCUAGCGACUGCUGAGUGGCAUCAAAUAGAGCUCACACCAUCCACAACCGUUCUAUAGCUCUUCAUGUGCCACAACAUCGAGCCCACAUCACACAGAACCACACUUCCUAAUCAAAUAGCAGUUCAUUUAUCAUCUGGUUUGAGGUUGCGAAACAGACCUCACCACCCUUAUCUAUAAUCAAAUCUAGACAUUAGGCACUUGACGGGAUCGGCGUACCACUUUGGUCUUUCCCAGCCUCAUCAGCAACAUAUGCCGAGCUGUAGGUGUUACAAUCUUACUAGAAGAGGUACCAGAAAAAUCCAGCCCUUUAAUAAAGCGUACUACAUUUGAGGCUCAGGAGCGAGCUCAGAUAAGACAUGGGGAUGAACAAGAGAGAGAGAGCAAAGAAGACAGCAGCAAGCUGCACAGGGCCAGGGACCCGAUGAUGUUGAGAUGCACCACCACCACCACCACAGAUGGGAGCUAAUACACAGGUACUGCGUCAGAUGUCUAUAACUCUAACAAGAACUAGAUGUGAUAUAGAGGGAAUCCAGCAAGCUCUAGGGGCUUUGAUGACUGACAUGCAGAUAGCCCGGCGUGAUAUCAAUACUACUUAAAACAUGGCACAGUUUGCAUAUCAGGAGGCCUGAUCAGCAAGGAGGGAGAUGGAAACCAUGAACGAGCAUCUGAGUGUAUAUGUGGGAAGAGUGGAUGGAAUACAGAUAAGAGUGAACGACACUUGGGACCGACUGCAUAGCAUGGAGGGCAAAGUUAGAGUACAGAGUAGCAUGAUGAAAGCCAUAUAGGCAGAGCAAGUCCAGCAGUCGGAUCUACUGAGGCAGAUUUUGGCUCAUUUCUUACAUCCACCGGGCAACGACACCAUAGGACCUAGCUACCAGGCACCGCCACCACCACAGUGAUCAAGGUAGUUUUAUUUCACUCAUUUGCUAACUCUAAUUUGGACUUGUCUUCAAAAUAUGCCUUUUGAAACCUUUAUUUUUCACAUUGAGGGCAAUGUAAUGUAUAAGUUUGGUGGGUGGUGGCAUAUUUUGAACGUGAUCCUUUUUAAAAUGCAAUUAUCGGCAUGUAAUGUAAAUUUUUUGAAAUGAUCACAAUCCAUCAAUUCUUUGACACUAGUUGAACAGUGUGUGCUUGACGAGUGACUAUUACAUUAAUAUGCUGUAUUUGGCUCAUUGCAUACCUGUGUGGGUUUGAUAGCCUUGUCGAUAAUUAUGUGAUUAUUGGAAUAGGUAUGUGUUAGGAACUGUGAAUAUAGUCUAGAAUUUAAUUAACCGAUACGUGUUGGGAUAGUACUUGACAUUUCAUAAGCACGCCACUCAUACCAUACAUGUCAGGGAAGUGAUUGGGUUUGAAUAAAGCAUAAGAAACUAGAAAAUCUCGACUAGAUUUAGCCAUAAUGUAGAUCCAUAAACCAAAAUGCAUUAAUGCAUUGUUUGGAGACAGUUUAACAAUUAUAGGGGAACAUUGAGAUAAGUGGGGGUUGCGUGCAUAAAUUACGCUAUGUGGAUUGCCUAGACAGUUGAGAUGAAGACUAGGAGAAAGUCUUAAUUCGGGGGUUGAUUCCAAAGACCAAAUGUCUAGAAAAAUAAUGAAGGGGCAUAAAAAUAGGUUAAAAAAAUAUGACACCUUUCCAAGCUUUUAUGAAUUGAGGAAGUAAGCCCUUAAGGAUAUCUCAAAAUCUGGUGCCCUAAGGCCAAUUGGUUUGGGAGUCACCAGCCCAACGCUCGUUAUAGGAGUCAUGUAGAAAGCAAGAGGGAAAGAGGUCAAUAAAAAGUCAUUCGAUCGAUCCUUUAUAACUCAAGUGAAUAAGCCUGUAAGGGUUUGAAACCUGGUUCCCUAAAGCCAACUGGUUUGGAAGUCAUCGGUCUAAAGCUCGCUAUAGGGGUUAUAUAGAAAGCAAAAGAAAAUAUGGCAACAAAAAAAAAAAUUUAAAAUACAGAGUAACAUAGUAUGGAAAAAGCCCUUGGAUAUUUGGUUGAUAAAAAUCACCCUUCACUUGUUGACCUGCGAACCUGUAAUGGUGGGAUCUGUCCAAACAAAGAGAGAGUAAGGACUACAAUUAAAUAAACCCUUAACCUUAAAACACAACCCCGGGAUAAUUGAGUAAAAAGAAUAAGUUUGGGGGGUUGUGUGUCUCUCGAGCAAGGUAAGGAUAUAUUUGACCAUUCUGGGGAUAGAAUUGAACUAAUCAUGAGCUUGCUAUGUUGGUAUGAGAUCACACACACACGAUGAGUCUUGCAUCCGACAAGUAAAGGUAAAUUCUAUUCUUGCACUAUUGAAACUAUUUCUUAUGUUAAUUAUUGAAUUCCAAUCCUAAGAUAUGGCAAGUUAUUGAACCAUGAUUGUUGAGAUUUAAGUCACCAUUUUGUUUGAGGACAAACAACAAUUUAAGUUUGGGAGAUUUGAUAAGUGCAUUUUUAUGGACUUAUAUAACUCACAAACAUAACCAAAAUAUGAGCAAAGAGUACGAAAUGUGACCUAAAUUUGCUUGAUUCUUGGAUUGUAGGGUUUUCUGAUGGACUUGAUCGAACUCAUGAGAAAAAGAAGCAAAAAGGACCAAAAUGAAUCAAAGUGAUAGUUCAAGGACCAAAGUACAAAUAUCCAAAAGAUGAGCCAAAGGAGAAAUCGAAAAAUUGAGAGUGCCAAGCACCAAUUGGAGGUCAAAUGAGUAGAUGGAACAAAAGAGUCGAAAAAAGAGGUCAAGAAACAAGAAGACUGAAUUUGGGGACUAAAAUGACACAAAGUGUAGAACCCCAAAUAAUUCUAGACACCUUAGUGGCACUAAGACAUGAAUAUUGGAUGACUAAAGUAUACUUCAAAUUUUUAGUCUCAUUUAAGACCCAUUUUUGACAUAGAAAACAUUCGAUUUGGAAAAUGAUAACUAAAUAAAAGUUGUAGCUCUUUGAGUUAACUUACUAACGCACU
rnacentral:lncRNA from 1 species